rnacentral:tRNA from 2 species
UAAAAUGGUUUAUAAAAACAAAAUUUCAUUGUAAAUGAAAUAUCUAAUGAUUUCAUUUU